rnacentral:tmRNA from 1 species
GAACGGUGUAUUGCUUUUUGCUCAGGAUGGUACCGCUGUAAUGGGCCAAUAUUGAUAAAUGCUAACGACAAUAACGUCGAGUUCGGAGUUGCAGCGUAAGCUGUCAUUGUAAACUACAUUUAUAAAUUCCUGAGGUUUGACGACUUCAGGUGGGGUUUGGGCCACCUAGCAACAGAACGGCCCACU